rnacentral:rRNA from 1 species
AUUGAACGCUGGCGGCAUGCUUUACACAUGCAAGUCGAACGGUAACAGGCCGCAAGGUGCUGACGAGUGGCGAACGGGUGAGUAAUGCAUCGGAACGUGCCCAGUCGUGGGGGAUAACGCAGCGAAAGCUGCGCUAAUACCGCAUACGAUCUAUGGAUGAAAGCGGGGGACCGUAAGGCCUCGCGCGAUUGGAGCGGCCGAUGUCAGAUUAGGUAGUUGGUGGGGGAAAGGCUCACCAAGCCAACGAUCUGUAGCUGGUCUGAGAGGACGACCAGCCACACUGGGACUGAGACACGGCCCAGAAUCCUACGGGAGGCAGCAGUGGGGAAUUUUGGACAAUGGGCGCAAGCCUGAUCCAGCAAUGCCGCGUGCAGGAAGAAGGCCUUCGGGUUGUAAACUGCUGUUGUACGGAACGAAACGGUCUGGGUUAAUACCUCGGGCUAAUGACGGUACCGUAAGAAUAAGCACCGGCUAACUACGUGCCAGCCGCCGCGGUAACAC